GCCCCGGUAGCUCAGCAGGACAGAGCAACGGUUUCCUAAACCGCAGGUCGGGAGUUCGA
rnacentral:tRNA from 1 species